rnacentral:tRNA from 1 species
AAAGAUUUAGUUAAACUCCUAUAACAUAAAUAUGUCAAAUUUAAAUAAUUGAAAUUUUCAAUACUCUUUU